GUGCUUGUUUCUCCAGCACAUAUACUAAAAUUGGAAUAAUUUAGAGAUUAUUUAGAGAUAAUUUAGAGAUUAGCAUGGCCCCUGCACAAGGAUGACAUGCAAAUUUUCAAAGCAUCCCGUGUGUGU
rnacentral:snRNA from 1 species